AAGUGUUUGUACUAGAUUUAUGCACUUGCUGACCCGUUCCUGCUGAUGGCCACUUUGAUAAAUCAUCUCAGUUAGAAGCAGAUGCUAUCAUGGUAUACACGGAGACACGUCUUCCCGAGGUUCCAAACGGAGGGAAACUGAGGUGCAGAGAGAUCAAGAGAAUUGCUUGAGGUGCACGGUUAUUAUGUGGCAGAUCAAGAAUCCAACCGCAAGUCUGUGCAACUCCAGAGCCCAGGAAAUUCUUGCAGAAGAUGAUUUACUCACAAAGAUGAAUAGUGUGGACUGCCCAAGACAGGGCCAUCGUCAGCACUGGGAAGCUGCUGGUGGGACCUAAGCUGUUCCUGUGCUUCUCACAGCCGUGCCUUCAUUCCGUUCUGGCUGGAAAGACCC